CUAGUAUAUGGCUGGAACUGGCUGGAACUGCUGUUCCACAUUUUUCCUAGAACAAGUUUAUUCCGAGAUGAGAACAAGAUUAAUUAAAGUCUAAAUUUAAAUUUUAAUGAUAGUAAAUUAUUAAUUAAUCUAAUUAAUAUAUUUAAAUCAUUAUCUAUUACUUAAAUAAUAAAUAAAUAAAUAAAUAAAUAAUUAUAAUUAAUUAUUGGCCAAUUUGCAUAAAAAAUCCACUUAUUUUGGGCUUUUGCAAAAUCGGGCCACCUUUUUCGUUUUUGCAGAUUCGGUCCGCUUUUUCAGCAAACUGACCAAAAUACCCUUAUUACUUUUUCUCUUUCCUCUUUCUCUCUCCUCUUCGUUCUCUCGUUCUUUUUUUUUCCGCCUGAAAAAAAAAAAGCGAAGCCAGGCGGAGCAAUUUUUUCUUCUCAUUUUCUUUUUCUUCUUCUUCUUCCUCCUACUGGAGCACCUUUUUCUUUCCCUCUUCUUCUUCUUCUUCUUCUUCUUCUUCUUCUUCUUCUUCCUGUAAGAGCAUGGGACGCGCCACGGCGACUUCCGGC
rnacentral:lncRNA from 1 species